CCUCAACAAGCGCAACUUUUGGAAAUUUUGAAAUUAAUUUUGCUAUAUAAACUUUGCUAAAGCUUUAAACACAAAAUACCGUUUUCAGGAUCUCUUCGACUCGAUCAAGAGAUUUUUUUUCUGGACUUCGUAAACUGGGUUUUUGCUACUUGUAAUUACAAA